rnacentral:rRNA from 1 species
CAGUAGCCACGGGAAUACGAAGGGGGCUAGCGUUGUUCGGAAUCACUGGGCGUAAAGCGCACGUAGGCGGAUUUUUAAGUCAGGGGUGAAAUCCCGAGGCUCAACCUCGGAACUGCCUUUGAUACUGGAGAUCUUGAGUUCGGAAGAGGUUGGUGGAACAGCUAGUGUAGAGGUGAAAUUCGUAGAUAUUAGCUAGAACACCAGUGGCGAAGGCGGCCAACUGGUCCGACACUGACGCUGAGGUGCGAAAGCGUGGGGAGCAAACAGGAUUAGAUACCCCGGUAGUCCCUGUCUCUUAUAC